GUGUGUGCAUGUAAGUGUCUUCUUCUGGACCUUCUGGAAAAGAUUGAGUCUAGACAGAACUUUUUUUCCUGCAAUUGUUAGCUUGGAGUGAUCAGCUUAGUUUGGCUAAAUAUGAGACCUUGUAGCUGUUGGGUGCGAGUUCAACCAGGUACAUUAUCAUAAUGGCCAAGUGUUUCAGCCCAACCCCUUGUUUAGCUGCCUCUGUGUGAGUGGGGCCAUUGGAUGCACACCUCUGUUCAUACCAAAGCUGGCUGGCAGUCACUGCUCUGGAGCUAAAGGUGGAAAGAAGUCUGAUCAGUCAAACUGUAGCCUGGAACCAUUACUACAGCAGCUUUCAACAAGCUACGAAACAAUGCCAGAUGUGUGCCAAGCUUCUAAUCUGCUUCCUGCACUGAGGUCUUUAAACUGUUGUCUACCUUCCAGCUUAUAGAAAUCUCCCACUUAUUUGGAAAAAAAAAUGUCUUGUGCAAGCAACAAAGUGGACUCCCUGCUCCAGAACAUGUGGGAUGGGAAUAUCUAAUAGGGUGACCAAUGAAAACAGCAACUGUGAAAUGAGAAAAGAGAAAAGACUGUGUUACAUUCAGCCUUGCGACAGCAAUAUAUUAAAGACAAUAAAGAUUCCCAAAGGAAAAACAUGCCAACCUACUUUCCAACUCUCCAAAGCUGAAAAAUUUGUCUUUUCUGGAUGCUCAAGUAUUCAGAGUUACAAACCCACUUUUUGUGGAAUAUGCUUGGAUAAGAGAUGCUGUAUCCCUAAUAAGUCUAAAAUGAUUACUAUUCAAUUUGAUUGCCCAAAUGAGGGGUCAUUUAAAUGGAAGAUGCUGUGGAUUACAUCUUGUGUAUGUCAGAGAAACUGCAGAGAACCUGGAGAUAUAUUUUCUGAGCUCAAGAUUCUGUAAAACCAAGCAAAUGGGGGAAAAGUUAGUCAAUCCUGUCA
rnacentral:sRNA from 1 species